UCAACUGUAGCAUCAGAGGCCGCAUUUAGCACAGGAGGUCAUGUGCUUGAUGUAUUCCGUAGCUCUUUGACCCCAAGCAUGGCGGAGGCUCUUAUAUGUGCUCAAGAUUAGUUACGAUCUACGCCACUUUCACGUUCGAUUGAGGAGGACUUAGAAGAACUUGAAAUCUUUUAGUCAGAUAGAACUUAGAGGAGUUGGAUGGACCAGAGAGAUGAUAAGCAUGGAGGAGUUGGUAACACUGGGGCUUCGGACACAUCAACCGGUCCUGUGAUGGCCGAGCACACAUUGGUUGACAGAUCGACAAAUUAUGGAAAUAUGCACAGGGGGUUUCUGCUCACUAGAUCUUUUUGUUCAGUCACAUGAUUAACCCAUCUGGAGCCAAGGUAGUUUUGACAAAUGGCCACCAAGCUGAAGCGGCUCAAUAACUCGUGUUCUAUUACGGCCUGAUUUUGUAAUUAUGACUGUUAAAAGCGACAAUUUUGUAGCUCGAGUAGAUUAUGAAUCUGUUUUCUUUUC